rnacentral:rRNA from 1 species
CCUACGGGAGGCUGCAGUAAGGAAUAUUGGUCAAUGGAGGAAACUCUGAACCAGCCAUCCCGCGUGAAGGAUGAAGGGGCUCUGCCUUGUAAACUUCUUUUGUCUGGGGCGAAAAAGCUCGAUUUAUCGAGAACUGACGGUACCAGAAGAAUAAGCACCGGCUAACUCCGUGCCAGCAGCCGCGGUAAUACGGAGGGUGCAAGCGUCAUUCGGAAUCACGGGGUUUUAGGCGUGCGUAGGAGUCAGUGGAGAAAGGCUGUGGCUUAACCAUGGAAUUGCCAUGGAUACUGCAGAGCUGGAAUGAGGUUGAGGUUGGCGGAAUGUGACAUGUAGCGGUGAAAUGCUUAGAUAUGUCAUGGAACACCGAUUGCGAAGGCAGCUGACUGGACCUAUAUUGACGCUGAGGCACGAAAGCGUGGGGAGCGAACAGGAUUAGAUACCCUAGUAGUC